AGAGAGAGAGAAGGAUGGAGGGGUGGGUUGGGGGAGACAGAGAGGAGGAAUAGACACAGGGAGGGAACAAAAGGAAACCCACUCGGCAAAAACUGGUUGAAUCAACAUUGUUUCCACGUUGUUUCAACAACAACAAAAAUGAAGCGUAAUGACGUUUAUUCAACGUGGGAAACGGAUUGGAUUUGCAACUUAAAUCCAAUGUCACGGGGACAUUUUUUUUGUCAGCCAAAUGUAAAUGAAAAGUCGAUGUUGAAUUGACGUCUGCGCCAGUGGGAAGGGAGGCAGGCAGAGAGGACAUGUUGGAAAGAGCAUUCUCCCUUUCCCCCUUCUAACACUAGAGUCAGUAUUCUCCUUCUAACACUAGAGUCAGUAUUCUCCUUCUAACACUAGAGUCAGUAUUCCCCCUUCUAACACCAGAGUCAGUAUUCUCCAUCUAACACCAGAGUCAGUAUUCUCCUUCUAACACCAGAGUCAGUAUUCUCCAUCUAACACUAGAGUCAGUAUUCUCCAUCUAACACUAGAGUCAGUAUUCUCCUUCUAACACUAGAGUCAGUAUUCUCCAUCUAACACCAGAGUCAGUAUUCUCCAUCUAACACUAGAGUCAGUAUUCUCCAUCUAACACUAGAGUCAGUAUUCUCCUUCUAACACUAGAGUCAGUAUUCUCCAUCUAACACUAGAGUCAGUAUUCUCCUUCUAACACUAGAGUCAGUAUUCUCCGUCUAACACCAGAGUCAGUAUUCUCCAUCUAACACUAGAGUCAGUAUUCUCCAUCUAACACUAGAGUCAGUAUUCUCCUUCUAACACUAGAGUCAGUAUUCUCCAUCUAACACCAGAGUCAGUAUUCUCCAUCUAACACUAGAGUCAGUAUUCUCCAUCUAACACUAGAGUCAGUAUUCUCCUUCUAACACUAGAGUCAGUAUUCUCCAUCUAACACUAGAGUCAGUAUUCUCCUUCUAACACUAGAGUCAGUAUUCUCCGUCUAACACCAGAGUCAGUAUUCUCCAUCUAACACUAGAGUCAGUAUUCUCCAUCUAACACUAGAGUCAGUAUUCUCCUUCUAACACUAGAGUCAGUAUUCUCCAUCUAACACUAGAGUCAGUAUUCUCCAUCUAACACUAGAGUCAGUAUUCUCCAUCUAACACUAAUCUAACAGGUAGAGGUCAUAUCAGUGAAAGGCUCUAAUCUAACAGGUAGAGGUCAUAUCAGUGAAAGCCUCUAAUCCAACAGGUAGAGGUCAUAUCAGUGAAAGCCUCUAAUCUAACAGGUAGAGAUCAUAUCAGUGAAAGUCUCUAAUCUAACAGGUAGAGGUCAUAUCAGUGAAAGGCUCUAAUCUAACAGGUAGAGGUCAUAUCAGUGAAAGCCUCUAAUCCAACAGGUAGAGGUCAUAUCAGUGAAAGCCUCUAAUCUAACAGGUAGAGGUCAUAUCAGUGAAAGUCUCUAAUCUAACAGGUAGAGGUCAUAUCAGUGAAAGCCUCUAAUCUAACAGGUAGAGGUCAUAUCAGUGAAAGCCUCUAAUCUAACAGGUAGAGGUCAUAUCAGUGAAAGCCUCUAAUCCAACAGGUAGAGGUCAUCUCAGACAACUCUUUCUGCCCCCUGCUUUACGACCCUCCUCUCCUCCUCUCUCUCUUUCCUUCCCUCGCUCACUCCGCCCAGCCUUAUUCUCCAAUAGACUGUAAACGUCUUAAUAUUGUCUUAAAGUGAUAGGCUAGUAGAGGACGUUAGACCACACCCCUUUCCCCGCCACCCUCGCUCCUGUUGAGCCAAUCCCAAGUCACCUUGCUCCCUAAGGAAGACCUUGCCCCUCCCACUUUUCAACGGCGUUGGUGUGUAGAUGUUGUUAUUGCGAAAUUGUAAAGAAAAUAAUAAAUAAUGAAAAUGAUGAUUAUUAUGAAGAAGUAUGUUAAAAACAUUGGAAUGAGAGAGAAGAUGAUAUUAAAAGACUAGAAUUAUUAUGUGAGAACUGUACGGAAUGAUAAUAAUUGAACUUUGCAAUAAAGAAAAUGUUGAAUAUGAAA